AACGAACGCUGGCGGCAGGCUUAACACAUGCAAGUCGAGCGCCCCGCAAGGGGAGCGGCAGACGGGUGAGUAACGCGUGGGAAUCUACCCAUCUCUACGGAAUAACGCAUGGAAACGUGUGCCAAUACCGUAUACGUCCUUCGGGAGAAAGAUUUAUCGGAGAUGGAUGAGCCCGCGUUGGAUUAGCUAGUUGGUGGGGUAAAGGCCUACCAAGGCGACGAUCCAUAGCUGGUCUGAGAGGAUGAUCAGCCACACUGGGACUGAGACACGGCCCAGACUCCUACUGGAGGCAGCAGUGGGGAAUAUUGGACAAUCGGCGCAAUCCUUAUCCAGGCAUGCCGCGUGAGUGAUGAAGGCCCUAGGGUUGUAAAGCUCUUUCACCGGUGAAGAUAAUGACGGUAACCGGAGAAGAAGCCCCGGCUAACUUCGUGCCAGCAGCCGCGGUAAAAC
rnacentral:rRNA from 1 species